UCUACAGGUCGAGCAAGUCUCGUAAAUUUCACGAUUGCGAGCCACGCUUCACGCAACCGUGUUUGCGUACUUGUGUUUCGAGUUGCGUGGUCGUGCGGAGUUAUAUUUACCAAAUUUAAAUGUAAUCGUUUCUACUGAUAAUAAUAUACUAUUCUCAAUAUGGCUACUGGGUGUAAAAGAUAAAUCUUAUUCUAUCUGUUCUUCAUGAGUUUUAGAUAAUUUUAGUUGUAUUUCUUUGUAAUUUUGUGUUGUACAAAGAUUAAUUUAACAUUUUCUCUGGAAGUAUUAAUUUAGAAAGAUAAUAUGCUUCAUUGGUGUUGUGUUUUGAAGUGUGAAAUGCAAAGUAAUUGUGAUAAAGUUCACUUUUAAACUGAACUAAAUAAGGUAUCUGAGAGACAACAAUGGUUAAAUGCAAUACAAUGUACAGGUUUUACUAGCGAAAUGAAAAUUUUCCUGUCCUGUCUGCUGUAAUCAUUUUAUAUCUGGAAAACCAGCCGACUUAAUCGAUAAUAACAAUCUCCAGAUUGGGUUCCUUCAAUAAAUAUGGGCUAUAAACACAAUGAAAUAAGUUCCCCAAAAUCUAAAAUGGAGUGCUAUCAAAGGAGAAUUAAAGGAAAAAAUAUUCAUAUUGAAAUUAUUUAUAAGGCACUGGACUGUCUUAAAUUCUACAAUAAUACUAGAAUCAGCUGAGAGAAGUGGUCUACAAAAAACCAGGAAGGAAACGGAAUAUGUGGCUACGAAAGGCAAAAGAAAGGUUUACAAAGCAAAUGUGACACAUUUUUUUGAAAUAUUUAGGAAUAUCAGUAAAUUGCAUUAAAAAAUGUAUGAAAAGAUUUUGUUCAAUAAAAAUGUUUAUAUUUA